GGCUCGGUGGUCUAGGGGUAAAAUGCUCACUUUGGGUGCGAGUGAUCCCGGGUUCAAAACCCGGAUGGGCCC